AUCCUGAGCGCCCUCUCUGGUCUGUGCUGCAUGAUAGCAGUUUCCUGGUAUGCCUUCAUGGUAGUGGAGGACUUCAACAAUCCGUUCCUCGGUGGUGUGAAGUUCGAGCUGGGCACCGGCCUCUACCUGGGCUGGGGUGGAGCCUCU